GUAGUCCACGCCGUAAACGAUGUCGACUUGGAGGUUGUGCCCUUGAGGCGUGGCUUCCGGAGCUAACGCGUUAAGUCGACCGCCUGGGGAGUACGGCCGCAAGGUUAAAACUCAAAUGAAUUGACGGGGGCCCGCACAAGCGGUGGAGCAUGUGGUUUAAUUCGAUGCAACGC
rnacentral:rRNA from 1 species